ACGGGGAUGGGGAGAGGGUAGGGACGGUGGUAGAGUAAUUUCUUACGGUGUAUGUAGGGUCAUGGUGGUCUAUCACUUCGCUUUUAUGACUUCAUUUGUCCUUUUUCACACACCUCCUUUCCAUCCCCAUCCUUUAUUUAUCACCCCCUCUAUCCCACUCUUUCUCCCCACAUCGACGCUCUAAAUUACACACAACCCACUUAUCAUAUCUUCAAUUUUUGCUUCUUCCUUCACUCACUCAUCUCCAUACCCCUUCUGCAACCCUAAUUCUCCCUCUUGGAACCCUAAUCAAGAUACACGGGAAGCUUUACUUUUUGAGGGGAAUGUUGUCUGGCUCGAGGCCCUUAACAAGAUCUACCAAGAUUUUUCAUUUCUAUCUAUUGGUCAAUUGAUCAAAUCUUGAUCGUUGAUUCAUGUAUUUCAGUAUCGUGGAUCAUCUGUUAGCGGCGUCGGACCAGGCUUCAUUCCCCCCAAUGUCUUGCUCCCUUUUCCAUCGAAAGUCAAACGGUAUCUUUCCCAAAUAAUUCCUAACAAGUUUUGGUUAAGUACUAUAAAUUUGAUGUUUUCGGCUUUCUUGUGUAUGGAUUUUUGGUUCUUUCUUUCUCCAGGUGAAAUGAGUUCGUUGGCCAUGCAAGAACAGAUUGCUGUAAUGAUUAAAGAUUUUGACUUCUGCUUUGUUUUUUCUUUCCUGGUUGUCCUGAAAUCCAGUUUGAAAAAAAGAGUAGCUAAUCGAUUUCUUCAUCAUUGCUUCCUGUAUUUUUCCACUCGGGCAGCAAAAUGGGCUCUUUUAAUAAUUGUUUUUUGCUUUCUUUUGUCAGUUCACUUUCUAUGAGCUCUAUCAUUAUACUGGUUUUUGUCAUGAUGGCAUCAAGAAUCCCCUCUGUCUCUUUCUGCUCUCGUCGGAUCUGCAUGCUUAUUAGUAAUUACUAUUUUACCUUAUAAUUGCUAUCAUGGGUUGAGAUGUUCUCAUCUCAUAUCUGCACAAAUUCUUUCAUUUCCCAAGUAGGGUUUUCCAUCCUUUUGUCUUCCUUUCUCUCCUUUCUUUCCCCAUUCUUUUGAGGUAAAAAGUCAUUAAAUCCAUUUCUAAUAUAAUAAUAGGUGAAAAAUUCCCUUAAAACUUCUAUAAAAUGGAUAAUGCGACUCUCUGAUUCAGGGUUUGUAUUGUCAAUCUUUCUUUUUUUUUUUUGUUUAAGUAAGUUUCAUGUCUAUUAGUGUUUUUGGUAUUGGAGUAAUUGCCCUUUCAUAUUGUAAUUGAAAGUCUGACAAAAUUGAUCGACAAGCUUUACAUAUAUUUACCAAAACAACUUUAGGCAUUUUGGGUAUAAUAACCCCAGAUCUGCAGAGCCCAUGUGUCUUUAGGACAUGUCUACAAUUUCCUUGUACUCUGAAUUCUGAACUCUGAAGUCAAGAAUGCCCUUUAAGUAGGAUGGUUGCUGGUUAUACAAGUUCGUAACAAUCAUAUGUAUAUGUAUGGACAAAACAGGUUCUUUACCUCAACAACAGUUCUGCGGAUCAUAGGCUGCCAAGAUCUGUGAGACUGUGAACGCUUCAUCAGAUAUAUACACUAAUUUCUUGCUUUCAAGAACACAGUACCUCAUGUUUUCAUUUCUGCUGUUUUCAACGGGUCAGUUGUGUAAUAAUCUAGUUAUACAUA